CAGUCGCCGCGGUAAUACGUAGGGUGCGAGCGUUAAUCGGAAUUACUGGGCGUAAAGCGUGCGCAGGCGGUUUGUUAAGACAGAUGUGAAAUCCCCGGGCUUAACCUGGGAACUGCAUUUGUGACUGGCCGGCUAGAGUAUGGCAGAGGGAGGUGGAAUUCCACGUGUAGCAGUGAAAUGCGUAGAUAUGUGGAGGAACACCGAUGGCGAAGGCAGCCUCCUGGGCCAAUACUGACGCUCAUGCACGAAAGCGUGGGGAGCAAACAGGAUUAGAUACCCGAGUAGUCCCUGUCUCUUAUAC
rnacentral:rRNA from 1 species